AUUGGUAUCAUUUAUUCAUUCAUUCUCUGGACACAGAUUGAGCACCGAAAUGUUCAGACACUGAAGCUUCAGUAGAGAACAAAUGGAAAAAGCUCUUGCUUUUAAGAAGUGGUACAUUUGUUCCAAUUUAUUCUAAUUUUUUCUAGUUUAUUCUAAUUCUCAUUGUGGUUUCCUUCUCUCAUUACAGGGUCUCUGUAUUCCUCUUCCUCUUGGAAGACUUGCUGGCUUUUUUCCUUUUUCAAAUUAAAUGAAAAAAAUUACUUUGUUUUGCAAAUUAUGUGCCACCUUUUAGAUACCUUUUUAGAUCCCAGUAAGGCUGCAAAACUAGAGCUAGAAGUAGAUGGCUCCAUGUCCAUUUCAAGGCUGCAGUGGAGCCAGGUUGGCAUUCCCUAGUUUGUAAUUUGGCCUUCUGAGAGGUCAAUGAUAGAGGAGGAGCAGGGAGCUCAGCCCAGUGUCUGGAAAGAGGACUUCCCAGUGGCUUUGUUUCUCAUGUCCAUUGGAAGCACAAAUUAGAAGAGACCUUGUAGAUCUAGGACACAGCAGUUACUCACUGCUCUGUGGGGUCACUUGUCCUAGGGUUUUCAGUGAUAGCUUAUCAUUUAAACAUACUAUUUUCUGAGUUAAUAGCUUCCUAACGUGUAACUUUCUAAAGCUAGAGUGGAGUCAGGAAAGCAGGCCAUGCACACGAUUCUGAGGACUAGUGAGAUGACUUUUCACUUGGACCCUUUGAGUCCGAGCAUCUGCUGAAAUGUAUUUAUAGGCUUACAGAAAGGGUCUUGGUUGUUCUACAGCAGAAGCCCAGUGCAUUGGCAUUGGUCCAGUUUUAGAAAGCUGAAAUGUUUGACUCUUUGUUUUAUUUUAGGAGUGUGCUAUACUGGUAGAAUUAAAUGAAGAAGCAGUGAAUUGUGAAUACAAUGCUAUUUAUUAAUUAAAUUUUUUUUGCAUGUGGGUGACUUAGUUGGAGGUUUAAUAAUCAUUUGGUCAUUUAGAGUCAGCUACUUUCAGUUAUUAAGAUUUCAGAUCUAGAGUAUCCACUUAAUAUUUCUUGUGCUGUGAAUCUGUUGUGGACACCCAAGUCUCAACAAAUAGGUUGUAAGUCUUGCAUAAUUUGUCCUGAACAACUCUAGAUAUAGAUCAUGUACCUUUUUAGGACAGGGACUCUAUCUGUUAAGUUCUAGGAGUCUGCAUGAUGCUUGGCACUUAGUAGGUGCUCAAUAAAUAAUUUCUGAAAGGAAAACAAAUGAUAAAUGAAGGAAGGACCAUGUAAGUUAAUAGAAUUUCUAAGAUGAAGUAGGAUGCUUCCUCUACCAAAGGAAAUUCAUUUGGCAUUCAUUUAAGGCAGCCUUAGGCUGACUCUGCUAAGUAAAGCUUAUUUUACAAAUAAAUGUUGAAAGUAGAAGAGAAACUAUUAGGGAAGAGGAAGGAGGUGGAGGAAGGAAGAGUGGUAGGGAUAGUGGAGAAGAGAAUGAUCAAAGUAUGUUAUAUGUGUGUACGAAUAUGCCAGAAUGAAACCCAGGGAUCUGUGUAACUACAGUGCACUAAUAAAAAAAAAACCCUUUUAUAUAUAUAAAAAAAUUUUAUGCUUUGAGAGCAAACCAUUUCUUGUGUUGAUACAGAGUGAAGUGCUUUGCAACUUUAGCUACACUUACCCAAAUGGGAAGUAUUUACCCAUUAAGGUAACUAAUAUGUUUGCUAAGAGCGAGGAUAGGCCCAUGACUUACCCUAGGCUGAGUGAUCUCAGCCCAGUUACCUGAUCACUCUGAGUUUUCUCAUCUCUAUAAUGGGAAUAAUGACAAUGGCUUCAUAGGGUUGUUGGGAAGAUGGAAUGCGAGCACGCUUGGCACAAGUGCCCAAGAUUUUACUGAGUGAGAAAUCAACAUUGAAGACAGCUUCCCGAGGGCUUGGGGCUUGAAGGGAGAACUAUCUUCAAGUGACAUCCAACAUUCCCUGAUGCAAUGGCAAGAGCACAGAGCUCCCCUGGAACUAUUUUCAUCUAAGAAAGGAAAGGACGUCCUUUUGGAGAGAAGUAGUAAGGAGACCCACGGUCAGCUUUUGGGAUGCACAGAAUCAGAUAACACGCUCUGUUGGAAGAUGAUGAGGUCUGGGGACUUUAAUAGGAGUUGAGAACUAGUGCCUGCAGAAUCUCCCACACUCUGCCCAAGUCACUCAGUAUGCAAAUAUCCCCCACAGAACAGAACAGAAAAGCCCCUAGACUGCUUACUGUACAAAUACAGACUCAAUCUCCCCAACCAGGUAUGCCAGGAUAAUCUGCUUACAACACAGUGCUGCUCACACAUGCUUUAGCCCAGCCCUGUUGCCUCUCUUUAAAAAAAAAAAUUUUUUUUUCCUGUGUUAUGAGAAAUUGAAUGCAAGGCCUUACACACACUAGGCAAGGGCUCUACCACUCAGCUACAUCCCAGCCAAUUUUUUGAAAGUUAUUUUGAGACAGGGUCUGGCUAGGCUGCCCAGGCUGGCCUCAAACUCAUGCUUCUCCUAUCUCAGCCUUUUGGAUAGCUGGAAUUACAAAUGUGUGCCAUCGUGCCCCACUGGGUGACUCUCUUAAGUACCCCCAUAUGGGAAUUUUGGAGCUGCCACUGGGCAAUGAUUAUAAUUUGGGUUCAUUGUUUGAAUGAGGAACAUGAUAAGAAGUGCAAACCAUUUAUGGACCCUGGCUUUAAAGCUCCUUGAAUUAUACAGAAUCUGGUUUACAUUCUGCCUUGUUUGGUGCCAGGUCCUGGGGAGAGUGCAUGGGUUUGAAGCUGAUCAUUGCCUUUGAGGAGACUAUUCAGAGGUGAAGUGGGAGACACAGAACCAGAGCUGACAAUGUAACUGGGCUAGGGUUGGAAACUGGUGCUGUGAGACUCACAGGCAGCUCUUCCUAACUCAGGGUAGGAGACUGGUUGCGGGGGAAAAAGCCAAGAUCAUAAAUGAUCAUGAUUUUUACAUUGAUUUCAACCUAUCCUUGAUCUCAGACCAAACAUCCCCCUAAGUGAGGUAAUAUUCCUUUAGGCAUAUAUAUUUGCUCAAGAAAAACUUGUGACUGUUUGGAUGAAUGAAUAAACAAGUACUUCCAGUGAAGAAACUGGCACUUGGAGAAGAAACAGGUUACCUGAUAGCAAAGCAGGAAUUUAAAUGUAAAAAUGUCAUUCUCUUUCUACCACAUACACAGCAAUUGCUGGAUGAUAGAAUGGAGAAAGCUAGAAGUCCCAGACAACUUCAAGGAGAAUGUAUAGCAAGUCAUCAGCAUUGGGAUUUUCUAAAGAGAAUCAGCAUUUGCUGGUGGAUGAUUGUUACCCUUCUCAUAUGGGCAGGUUCACAUUAGCCAGUGCACACACUGCUAAUUGGUAAUAAUAUUUAUUUUCAAGAACAAAAACCUAUGGUGCCCUAUUUCAUUCUCCAGUAUCUUUGGUGAGUAGCUUUAGUUUCACAGUCGGAAUUAGCCCUUUAAAAACACUUCAACAUUUCCCUUUUUCAACUCACCUUGCUUGGACAUUAAAUUUAGAAACAACCAAUGAAGCCCAUUGGCCAUAUGGGUAAGUGAACUUUUAAAAGUAGGUGCUUUGCAUCCCUGCAGCUCCAGGAGCUGUUGUCAUAGUAACAUGUUCCCCCUUGUGUUGCAGAAUGAGCAGUCCAUGGAACCAAUGGCAAUGUAGGUCACAAGCGAAAAGGGAUUUGGUGGCUUGCCUCAGAGCCCAGCUUGGCACAGCCAGGGAUCCUUCAUACUGUGGGGUCUGGAGGGGCUCACAUUCCUUUUGUAGAACAUUUUGUACUAGAACUGAGCCUGAAAGGCCAUACAGAGGAGGGGUAGAGAAGGCUGGCAGGCAGGAGCUGCAUACUGCAUUCAGGAGAUUCAGGAUGCCAGGAGCCCAGGUUAGCCUAUCCCAGGUGUGACUGUGGGCAGGUGGGUGUGUACCACUGUUGAAGGCUCAACAGUGUCCCUGCUGCCUGGUAGGCACUGGCACCCUCUGUGGUUCAGAUUCAUUCAGCAUUGCUUCAUGAAGGUGCACAUCAAUUAUAAAAAAAUUAUGGCUGCAAGAGACCUCACUUCAUAUAUACCCUGGGAAUGCAUCCAAGGAGCUUUAUUUAUUCAUUCAUUCAUGCAGCACACAUUUACUGAGCCCCUUCUUUGCGCCAGGUACUAUUCUGGCCAUGGACAACUUCACUGGGGUGCAACUUCAUUGAGCUCGUGGUCAGGAGGACUUUGCAUUUGGUUCAGUGCUCUGCAGUUGCUACCUUGAAACUCUCAAUCAGUUUUGAACCAGGAACCCCACGUUUUCAUUUUGCAAUGGGUCCCACACUGAGGUUACAAUGUUCAGAAAAGCAGAUAUAAUUCUUCCCUUCUUAAAGCUUAUGGUACAGUGGGAGAGGCAGACAGGAACACAAAUCAAUGUAGAAUUACAGCUGUGAUCUUCCACAUGGAGAGGCAGAAGUAUGUACUGCCAGGAGAGAAGAGACUAUCAUUUUACACCUCACUGGCUUGACCUGACUGUAGCUAGAAUAGUGCAGAGGGUUGAAAUUACACCAGAAGGAUAUAAGAGUGAGUGCUAUUGUUGACCAGCUUGGGCUUCUGAGAAAGAGUGGUAUGUUCCCCUCAAGGCCAUGGAGGCUUGGAAUAUGUCCUCUGCCAGGGCAGGUGCUUUGGGUGCGACCCUGUACCUCCAGCCUGAGGUUUUUCUUUUAACUUUUCACCUUGACAUAAUUUCAGACUUACAGAAAAAUUGAAAGAAUUGUACAGUGCAUUCCAUAUAUCCUUCAACCCAAUUCCUCAAACAUUACAUUUUACCAUCCUGUCUAAGUAUCUGUAUGGCCCUAUCUGUCUGUCUGUCUGUCUGUCUGUCUAUCUAUCUAUCAAUCAUUUGAUCUUGAGUUGCAAACAUGAUAUAUCCCUUUGCUGCUGCUAUGGACUAAAUGUGUGUAUACCCCCAAAUUCAUCCACUGAAAUCCUAACUUCCAAGGUGAUGGUAUCAGGAAGUCAGUCCUUUGCAAGUAUUCAGGACAUGAGGGCAGCGUCCUCAUGAAUGGAUUGAGUACCCUUAUAAAAAGACAUAAACCAGGGUUGUAGUUGGGUGGUACAGCACCUGCCCAGCAUGCACAAGGCCCUGAUUCAAUCACCAGUACUGAAAAAACAAAAAGAUGAAAAGACAUAGUUUGUUUUCUCUCUGCUCUGAUACAACCCGAUGGCUCCCUACAAACCAGGAAAGGGCCCUCAUCAGAGCCCCGCCAUGCUGGUAUCCUCAUCUUGGACCUCCUGCCCCCAGAACUGUGAGAAAUAGUUUCUGUCUUUUCAGCCAUUCAGCCUAUGGUGUUUGUAUUAUAGCAGCUCAAACCAAGUAAGAAAACUGCUAAAUACUUAAAAAUUUUUCUAGAAACAAGAUCAUUCUCUUCCAUAACCAUAGUAUAAUGAUCAAAAUCAGGAGCCAACAUUUAUGUAUCAUUGUCUAAUCUGUAAGUCUUAUUCAGAUAUCCUUCACUGUCCUAAUAAUGUUCUUUUUGGCAAAAGAAAAUGUGAUAUCAUGUGUUAUAUUCACUUGUCUUAUUUACUUGCAUUUCUUUAAUUUGGAACAGUUCCCUGUCUUUCUUUGUUGUCCAUGACAUUGAUUUUUUUUUUUUUUUCAGUACUGGGGAUCGAACUCAGGUCCUUACACUUGUGCAGCAGGCAGUGAAACCACUGAGCUAAAUCCCUGGCCCAUAUUGAUAUUUUUGAGGAGUGUAGUCAAUUAUGUUUUUUAAAAUCAGAUGUACUAUGGUGUAAUCAAUUGAUUGGUCAAUUCAUUCUUUUUAGAUAUACUGUUCUCAGGCAGGUUAUCUUGUAGAUUGAAGCUCACUUUGAGUCUGUCUUGUGUUUCCUUAUAAGAUUCAGACUUUGAUUCUCUCAUUGAAAUACCCAGAAAGGAUGUUGUAUUUUUCUCAGUUCAUAAAGCAGGAAAUGUUUGCUAUUAAAUUAUUAUGGAACUAACUUUUCCACUGUAAAGUUUCUCCUUUGUUCUUUUGCAAUUUAUAUGUAUCUUGUGGGGAGAUGCUUUCAGACUCUGACUAUAUUUUUUUAUUCCUCAAACUCUCACCGCCAAUAUUUUUAUUCAGUGCUGCUUCUUGCUUGAAAGUUAGUGAUAGUUGCCAAAUGGUGAUUUUGUAAUUUUGUCAUUGAUUUUACAUUUGGUAGUUGUCUUGC